AUCCAGCUGACGAGUUCUAAAUAGGACGAAAUGCGCGUCCUGGAU
rfam:Schistosoma rodhaini strain Burundi genome assembly, scaffold: SROB_scaffold0002121